rnacentral:rRNA from 1 species
UACGGAGGGUGCGAGCGUUGUUCGGAAUCACUGGGCUUAAAGGGUGCGUAGGCGGCCAUGUAAGUGAGGUGUGAAAUCCCUCGGCUCAACCGAGGAACUGCGCUUCAUACUGCAUGGCUUGAGGGAGACAGGGGUAAGCGGAACUGAUGGUGGAGCGGUGAAAUGCGUUGAUAUCAUCAGGAACACCGGUGGCGAAAGCGGCUUACUGGGUCUCUUCUGACGCUGAGGUACGAAAGCUAGGGUAGCGAACGGG